UACGGAGGGUGCAAGCGUUAUCCGGGUUUACUGGGUUUAAAGGGUGCGUAGGUGGAUUUGUAAGUCAGUGGUGAAAUCUUUGGGCUUAACCCGAAAACUGCCAUUGAUACUAUUUGUCUUGAAUUCUCUAGAGGUAAGCGGAAUAUGUCAUGUAGCGGUGAAAUGCUUAGAUAUGACAUAGAACACCCAUUGCGAAGGCAGCUUACUACGGAGUUAUUGACACUGAGGCACGAAAGCGUGGGGAUCAAACAGG
rnacentral:rRNA from 1 species